AAAAUACCUAAAUCAAGAACUGGCUACAGAAGCCUGUGGUGUUUUGGGCUCUGCGUUUUGUGCUUAUUCAAAUGGCAGCAUCUCGGCAGCAGGCACUGAGGCCGGACUGCACCAGUUCCCACCAUGCUGAGGGGCCCCAUAGUGGAAACGCACCCUUUGUCCCCAUGUAACAAAAAAGCAUGGAGUCUUCAGCUCGGGGCAGGAGGAAGUAAUCCUCCAAGAGUGCCCUCACUCACGGCUAAGAUCCUUGUUGGACUUCAAGGGACACUCCUGCAUCAAGUCUCACAUCAGGGCAGAAGGGAACUGGAGCAGUGGGCUGCUUGUACAGCACAAGUAAAGGGAUCUGUACUGGACAGGGAAGUGAGAGCACACAUUGUUCCCCAACAGCCCCGUGGAGAUUGCCUGGGGACAUAG
rnacentral:lncRNA from 1 species